rnacentral:piRNA from 1 species
UGUGUUCCCAAAAUUGAGUACCAGGUGG